rnacentral:rRNA from 1 species
CCUACGUCGGUCAGCAGUGGGGAAUAUUGCACAAUGGGGGAGACCCUGAUGCAGCGACGCCGCGUGAGUGAAGAAGUAAUUCUUUAUGUAAAGCUCUAUCUGUAGGGAAGAAAAUGACGGUACCUGUGUCAGAAGCCCCGUCUCACUACGUACCAGCAGCCGGGGUACUACGCAGGGGGCAACCGUUGUCCGGAUUUACUGGGCGUAAAGGGAGCGUAGACGGCAGUGCUAGGCUGGAGGGAAACGGGGGGGUUCAACCCCCGGACUGCUCUGGACACUGGAAGGCUGGAGUGCAGGAGAGGUAAGUGGAAUUCCCGGUGUAGCGGUGAAAUGCGUAGAUAUUAGGAAGAACACCAGGAGCGAAGGCGGCUUACUGG